UUUCCUUCUAUUCUUAUUUUCACUAUUUUCUUUGGUUUGCCAACGACGAAAUUGACGAAUUUUAUUUUUAUUUAAAUGGCAGUGCUGUUCGUCUGCUCACUUGACUUUUUGAGUUUUUGACGUUUUGUAUCAUUUACCAUUUACUGAGAAAGAGUGAUUCUUCCACAGUCCAUUAAAAGUUAGAACAUGUUUCAACAGUAUUUCGCUAAAAAUGCCUUGAAUUAAGAGUGUAUCUCUUUCAGAAAAGUGUUUAGUUGUCAUCGUAAAAAAUGUAGACAAGUUUUGUAUUAAAUCAGCCAAGAAGCAAUUAGGCGAAGUAGACGUAAACGUUGCAGAACUUUGCGAUAGUCCCUGCAAUCGAUUACCCUCUCUUCUUUUGGACAAACUUGUGAUGGUGCUGUUGGAGACUUGCCGUCUAGUGCCAACAGGAAGAAAAGGCAGUGUUUUUGCACGCUGGGUCAAUCAGAAGUCAAAAUCUGAAAACACUCAAGCUUGGAUGCAUUAAUAUUGAACCAGAAUAUUUAAAUUGCAUCUCAAAGUUCACACAUUUGGAAAUUCUUGAAUUUUCACGGUGUUCAAAUGGGGACAAAUAUUGAGAAUUCUUGGAGCUUAUUGCCCAUCUCUAAAGUCCUUACCUGUCCACUGCCGUUACCAGCUACGUGACACAGACCGACUACAACAUUUACGGCAACCUGUUUACAGCGUGACUAGCUACUAUUUCCAUGACGACCUAUUGCAACAUCUGCUCGGCCAUUUUAGUGAAAAACAGCGACGGCACAACUUCCUGCGUUACCCAAAUUGGAGUCUCGGAUACCCGAUUUACGCUGUUAGUGAAAAUUCCAGCUAUUGAACACUCUAAUCUUAUAGCUAUUAAUCUUAUAGCACAACUACGUGCACAAAGUGAAAACUAGACAUUAUAGCUGAAUGGUUAUCAUUAUCAAUAUUUCCCUUAAGAGAAUUAAUAAUAAUAAUCCAAGAUGCCUGAGGUCUAGUGUCUACAAAGUUCAGUUUCUGUUAACUCGAUGUCUUACCGUGAACUGUUUUGGGUAGUAUUCCACUAGAUUUGUAAUUAUAAUUGUCUUGAGUUGCCUUUCUAGUUUACUAGUGCUUGAUAAAAUGGCUGUGAAAACAAAGCUUGGGACUACUCCAGAGAGAAGAAAUCAAGAGAACAGAAACUUAUAAUGUUGAAGUUUGAAUUUCAAUUUAUUUAACAGUCCAUCAUAUUUACAGGUGUAGACGAGAUAGAAAUCAAAACAAUAAUGAUGUGUAUCAACAUUCAACAGGCACAGAGAACACACCCAUCCGAUUCUGUCGCGAAAACAAGAAACCUAAGUUCCCACAACGGAAUAUAAUCCACUCAAGGUGUGCCCCAUCCGCCAUAGAUCUUCACACGAAGUUGGCAUUCCACUGACGGCCACUUGUCCGGUACAUUCGAAGCGGCCCAGUGUAUGGACACCGGAC